UUCCUACUCCCUCCGUUUUAAAUUACUCAUCGCUGAAAUGGAUGUAUCUAGAACUAAAAUACAUCUAGAUACAUCCAUAUAUGCGACAAGUAAUUCAAAACGGAGGGAAUACAUG
rfam:Triticum aestivum genome assembly, contig: Triticum_aestivum_CS42_TGACv1_scaffold_130146_2BL